GACGAACGCUGGCGGCGUGCUUAACACAUGCAAGUCGAACGGAAAGGCCCUGCUUUUGUGGGGUGCUCGAGUGGCGAACGGGUGAGUAACACGUGAGUAACCUGCCCUUGACUUUGGGAUAACUUCAGGAAACUGGGGCUAAUACCGGAUAGGAGCUCCUGCUGCAUGGUGGGGGUUGGAAAGUUUCGGCGGUUGGGGAUGGACUCGCGGCUUAUCAGCUUGUUGGUGGGGUAGUGGCUUACCAAGGCUUUGACGGGUAGCCGGCCUGAGAGGGUGACCGGCCACAUUGGGACUGAGAUACGGCCCAGACACCUACGGGAGGCAGCAGUGGGGAAUAUUGCACAAUGGGCGGAAGCCCGAUGCAGCAACGCCGCGUGCGGGAUGACGGCCUUCGGGUUGUAAACCGCUUUCGCCUGUGACGAAGCGUGAGUGACGGUAAUGGGUAAAGAAGCACCGGCUAACUACGUG
rnacentral:rRNA from 1 species